rnacentral:rRNA from 1 species
GACGUAGGGCGCGAGCGUUGUCCGGAUUUAUUGGGCGUAAAGAGCUCGUAGGCGGCUUGUCGCGUCGUGUGUGAAAUCUCAGGGCUCAACUCUGACAUUGCAUACGAUACGGGCAGGCUUGAGUUCGGUAGGGGAGACUGGAAUUCCUGGUGUAGCGGUGAAAUGCGCAGAUAUCAGGAGGAACACCGGUGGCGAAGGCGCCACUCUGGGCCGAAACUGACGCUGAGGAGCGAAAGCGUGGGUAGCAAACAGG